ensembl:lncRNA
UGCCCCACCAGCUGCCAGCAUAGCCACGUGGGUGUCUGCAACAACAGCCCCACCCCACCCCACCUCAGGCCUCUUGGCUAUGCAGCUACUUGGUUCAAUACUACAGAGGCACAGGGGGACAUGAAGGCCAUUGUCUUGAGAUGCAGAAGUGAACAAAAGAGAGAAGGUGUCUCUCAGACUCCCUGAUGAAAACUGAAGCCCACUGGAAAAGUGAAGAGAAUCUCUAGAAUAAAGGCAAACCAGACCACCGUGCUUGAUCCUGUAAAACGGCGAGAAAAUAUUUACCAGGACCUCACACUCAACUCUGAAUACUUUCUGAACUUUGGACUGCCAGAAAAAUCCAAUAUACCAUUUUUGUGUAGGCUUGCCAUGGCUGCCAGCAGAGACCGGUGUGAUAGAAUACAAAGAAGGUGUUUGAGCAGUGGAAAGGAUGAUGAUCCAGUCAAAGGUGGAAAUCUGGAGCUCACUGCAAAGUCGCACUGGAGUCUGUAUUGGGAAGCCAGAGGGUCUACACAGGAAGGCUGAAGAUUUCCAGCAGGAAGGUGUAAGAAUGUUCUCUGGAGGCUGGAGAUGUCCAUCCAAGGAUGACAGUGAACACUAGAACUCCUCCAAAGAACUGGAAGCAAGAUUUCCUUCAUUUUCUUUUUAUUCCAUCUAGGCAACGAGUCUAUUGGAUGGUGCCAGCACAACUAGGGUGGGCCUUCCCUCUUCAGUAAAUUUAUCGUCCAAACCAAUCAGUUGGGUGUUUCAAGUGGACAUCACAGUUAACUAUCACCAUAUGGCACUUCUUCAGUCUUAUUUUGUUUCAAGUUUGUGAUGACUUUCUUACUUAAAUAGUUCUUAAUAAAAUUACCCUGAAUUUUUCUGAUCACGUUCAGUUCUCUGACACAAAAGCUCAUUAGGAUAUUUUGAUAUCCAGUCUUCCUCCUCCAGCAGGCCAGUCAGUAUGAUUUUACCAGAAC